UUCACUAUUCCCUUUUUUAACUUGGAUAAAUAUCGCUUACUGGAGUUUUAGAAAAAUAGAUUGUGAGUGCGUUAGUGAUAGGAAAAUAAGAAGCAGUAAAAACGGUUGUUGAGAUACUUGUACAGUGAGGAGGGAAUUUUCAGAAGAGCUAUAGCUGAGUAAAUAUGAACACGACCGAUGUUUCCACUGAAUAAAUUUCUAUUAGAUUAUUCCCUAAUUAUAAAGAUUAUUUAAAAGACAGAAGUUACAGAAUAAUAUACACGAGAAGAUGUAUCUAUUUCUAAAGUCCCUGAAACCAUACUUAAAUCCUUGGAGUUAUUACUCACCUCUAACACAGUUCUCAUCAACUGCAGUGUAAGCCUUAGAGCUGACACUUCAGAUAAGCACAUGAUAUAGUUCAGCCCUAAACCCCUUAACAGAAAAUACAUCAGGACUUACUGUAAAAUUUCAUGGAGGAUUAGAGAAAAUAUUAAGUCAAUAGUUCUUUAGUUAUAUGGAGCUUUUAAGGUAAUCAAUACUUUCCAGCCAUAUUAGCGCCUACGAUGAUGAAAGACAACAUUAAUAUCCAACUCUUCUUUUUUUGGUGUAUUUAUGUAUAUCCUUUCUUUAGUCAGCCCUGCUAGAAUCAAUAGUGAUACAAAGAAUAUGGUUCUUUUAAAAAUGUCAUCAAUAUUGAUUUGCUUAUUACUGCCAGUUUCAAGUGGAACUUGAUUUCAGGACCAAAUUUACUUCUUCUUAUGAAAGAAUUACCAAUCACCCUAAAACUUUGGAGUACCAACCUGACUUUGCUUAUUGUGAUUCUCAUGUUGAGCAGUGUGCUAAUGCAGCAAAAAUUAUUUUAGGUUUAGUAAAUCCUAAAAAUAGAAUGAAUAGGAUUCAUUCUAAGAAUUCUUUAGAAUUACAUGACAUUUUAUGCCCUCAAAGCCUUGUGCAGAUGUUAAUUAAAUUUUAUUGAUAUAAUUCAGUCCUGAACUUAUAUGCAUGCAGUUAUUAAUGAUUUAAUUAUUUUGUCAAUGGAGUAGAUUCUUUGCUUUUGAUUCUAUUUCAAAAAAAUGAGACAAUCAUCCUAUGUACAGCCUUUAGGCUCAAUCCCUUUCAUUCAGGCGACUCAGGAAUACGGUUGGUCAAACGUCAACGUUUCUGAUACUUUGCAACAUCCGUGUUCUUCAACGUACUUUCUUUUGUCUCCCACUAAUCAUCUGCUGGCCUUCUGUAUUUCUCAGGUAGGAAUCUGCUUAAAAAUUCCGGGGGUAUCUCAGUGUUUCUCUCUGCACAUCUAGGACCUUGUUUGCGAGCUGCUCAUUUCCCCGGUUGCGCAGUUCCCCGAACCGCUGAUUUAUUUGACUGAUUGCAGCUUACAGUUCCAACAAGUCCAACCACCACAACAGAAAUAUUACAAAGUGCCUGUAUCUCUUCACCUGUGAUUGCCUCCACUCCAGAAACUAGUCCUGAGUUUGAAGUAUGCUGAAUCUCCAGGACUGCUGCACCCCUUUGCCCCCACCUUUCCCGUGCAGUGGAAUAAGUUAUUUUAGAUGUGUUCCAGGGAUUGCUGGAUAAAGCGGGAGAGGAAACCAGCAGCUGGAGGGAUUUUAAACGUGGGGGGAGCAGGGGAAUUCUAACACCUCUCCGAGGCUGUAACUCCCUCCCGAAGGGACUCGGCUGUACCAGGGGGACGUGAUCACAGGUUCUCACGCUGGGAAGUGCCGCAAGAGCAAGACCGGGGUUGUCACCAACCUGCACGGCUGAAACCGGUGUGACAUGAAGGUGGCAGCUCUCGUCUGUAGACUGGUGUGAGCUCGAUCUAGCUGGCACCUUCAAUACGAGUUGUGAGGCCAGAUUCUCUGUGAUUUUCCACCUCUUUCAUGUCUCCCAUGUUCUUCGAAGUGGCUGAAAAGCAGCUAGAGGUUUUGCUGCGAUUUCUUUGAGAGUGUGAAUGUUCUGAAGCAUCACACCAGGAGAUGGUAAAGAACAUGUGAAGGCAGGUAGAAGGCACAGCUUGUCUUGCUGUGCCUAAUACUCCAUGACCUAUGGGACCGAGGCUGCUCUAACCUGUGCGAGGCUCAAGGACAACAGAAAUCCUGCAAAAGCACGAGCAAAAUGACAACAGCAAAAGCAUAAGAGCAUGUCUAGAGUGUCUGUUCCUCUGCUCCAGAGAGUUUGCUCAGCAGAAUUUGGCAUUUAUGUCCAUUAUAUGUAGUUUAUGUCCAUUAUAUUGUAGCGCCUUUUUUUUUUUUUUUUUCCACUGUCUUUGCAGUGCAACUAUCCUUGGAUGGGAAUGAUGCAAUACUCAGUACCGCUACUGAAAAAAAGCUAGGGAAUGAUGUUAACAAUAUAACUUUCAGCCUAAGCAACGGAGAAAGCCUAAGUAAGCAGGCUACAAAGAAAGUGUACUCAGUCUUUACUACAUUUCAGUAUUUCAUGAUGAAAAAACCUCAGAAGGGUCUUGGUUUCAAAGCCUUUGCUGUGUCUCUCACUCUGUCAAUGUUAGCUCUGACUCUGACACAUUUUCACUGCCAUCAUCUGCUGAGGUUAUGCGCCUUCUUCCCCAAGACAAACUGCAGCCGUAUGAAGCCAGCAAAAGCCUCAAACAGAAUCAAGAAUAUUUUCCCCAGGAUUAAGGACAAUCAUGGUAAGUGUCGCCAUAUUAACUCCUCAGAACCUUCCUGAGUGCUGAGUGAUUUUCUUACAUGGAUAGUAGAAGUAGCAUGCUUUUUUCACCAGUGCGAGAAAGAUAGUACAUUUAACUUAUACUUAGUACUCUGUAUUUUAAACUUAAGUCAGAUUUAUUAACUAGUAACCUCUAUCCAAAUGUAUAUAAACCCAAUUGCAUUAUUUUACGUAAUAUAUGGAAACAAUUUCUUUGUCUCCAUUGGUUGCUAUAUACAUGUAUAAAACUGACUCUGCUUGCACAGUGAGUAAGGCUUGCUGAAGUGAGACCUACAUAAACUCCUGUUCAGACAGGUCUAGUUAGAUCUUCUUCAGCAAUACUGUCCAGAAAUAUAUAUACACAGACCUUUUUGUUAAGAUGGGUGCUGACAGAUCUGAUAAGAACAAUGGAGAAGGAAAAAUAAAUGUUACAGCUAGUAGUAAGACACAAGAGUUCCUCUUGUUUAUGCUGGCUGAAGAUCUUGCCACCUAAUUAACACAAAGCCAACCAAAAACUUUGCUAUGGAACAAAUUAAAGGCCAGAUCACACCCUUAUCUCGGAUAGCUCUUACUGCAGCUUACAGCAGCUGUGGAGAUAUCAGGUCCGCGCUAAGCUCCAUCUGAAAGCUCUGGGCUCACCUCGGGGUGCCCCAGGAGCGGCGCGAACCACGGUGGUUUCCAGAGCAGGUUAAGGAAGCCCCAUCAGAAUGCAUUUCUGUCAGGCUCUCAGAUCAGCAUGGUGUAAACUGGAGCUCUGCUCGGUUUUUCCCCAGUUUUCGCUCUCGUCCCCACUGGUGCUUCUGACAGUCUCUUUGGAGUGCAGUUCCCCACAGCCACAGAGGGGAGUGUUUGGAGCAGCUCCGGAUCUGGCUUUAGGGCCCGUCUUUAAUUUCCAUCGGCAACUGUAAGGCUGCCCAUCGACAGCACUGAUUUACAGCUCUGUUUGUAAGAGCAGCAGUCACACAGGAACAGGUCUUGGCCCCUUUUCUCAGAAGGGUACACUCAUCUCUAAGCUGUCUGGAAGCUCUGGAUUUAUGUAGAGGCAAUAGUCCUAAAGGCUACCUAAAGGAUGUGGGUCUCUGCCUUGGUAUACUCUUCCAGCUAAUGUUGCCUAAAAUGGAGUUUUCCUCACUUUAUAUUCUUUUUAUCGAGCGGAAUUUCUGUUUAUAGUCACAUUUGCUUUCUGUCCCAUGCUGUCUGUCACUUGUGUUGAAUAUGGGCUUUGCACACAUGCCAAAUAGUUUGUUACUUGGCGAGAGUUCACUGGCAGGAGAAUUUGCUUCUACGCAUAGUAAUAGGCAUGUUUGGCUAAUAGGCUCUUUGUCUAAAAGCCUUUUGCAUAUUCAGAGCUGCUCAUUUGUCACGCUAGCCUGACCUAGGCAGCAAAUAUUAAAAAAGAGUCAUAAAUAUGCUCUGUUCUUACUAGAAUGCCAGCUGAAGCAAGCAUUAGCUGUUUCAUGAUAAACUAGUCAUCUGCUGCUCUUUAACUUCACAAGUGUUGUCCAGCCACACUUAUUUCUAGAAUAGUUCUGUCCAUCACUGAUUUUUCUUUUGCAUAUGCAAUUGCCUUACUCAGUUGUCUGUGUUUUCUUAAAGUGCAUUUAAUAUUGAAAUGGCCAACUCUGAUGAUGUAGUAGUUUUGGGAUGGCAAAUUUGAUAACCCGGUAUAUGCAGAGCUGACCGCUUAGGAUCUGUUCCGGUUUUACAAUGAAAAGAAGGAAUUUUUCCCUAUUUGCUGGGGGUGUGUACCAGGGCCUUCGACUGGAAGUCCUGCACCCAGCUUCUGCGCUCACUUGAAUGCCGUGCUCCGUGCAUCAGCGGGCAGGUACCACCCGCAUUACCUGGCACGUCUUCCUAAUGCGUUCAACUAAGUUGUGACAAAGGGAGUAGUUAGUUCCACGGGUAACUUGAAAAGCCAGGAAUUUCCUUGGGCAUGUGGAGAUGGCAAGUGUCUUCAGUAUUGGGACUGCCUGGUUGUCGGUAUGAAAAUGGCUUCGUAUAUUUUUUAUAACUGGCUUUUUUUGUAUCUCGGGUAUAGAUUUUCUUUUUGUCCUGUAACUGCUUUCUUACUGCAUUUAAUAAAUCGUCUAAAGGCUGAGA